GGGGAUGUGGUCUAAUGGUAUGACGUCUGCUUUGCAUGCUGAAGGUCCUGGGUUCGAUUCCCAGCAUCUCCA